rnacentral:rRNA from 1 species
UAUGUGAUCGUCUCUCGCAUAUCAAUAAGCGGAGGAAAAGAAACUAACAAGGAUUCCCCUAGUAACGGCGAGUGAAGCGGGAAGAGCUCAAAUUUGAAAUCUUAAAGGGUUUCCCUUUACGAAUUGUAGUUUAAAGAAGUGUUUUCUGUUGAGGUUUUGGUAAAAGUUCUUUGGAAUAGGACAUCAUAGAGGGUGAGAAUCCCGUAUUUGACCUUUACUUUCAACUUUGUGAUACACUUUCAAAGAGUCGGAUUGUUUGGGAAUGCAGUCCAAAAUGGGUGGUAAAUUUCAUCUAAAGCUAAAUAUUGGCGAGAGACCGAUAGCGAACAAGUACCGUGAGGGAAAGAUGAAAAGAACUUUGAAAAGAGAGUUAAACAGUACGUGAAAUUGUCAAAAGGGAAGCGUUUGACACCAGUGUUGUUUUUCUGAAAAUCAAUUAAAGAACUGUUUAUGCUAAGCUGUUUAGACUUUAUCAGCUAUCUGUUUAGUUUUGAGCUUUUCUUUAAUGCACUUUUCAGUUAACAAGUCAACAUCAAUUUCUUUUGCUGUAAAAAAGCUUGAGGAAGGCGGCUUGAGAUUCGUCUUAAGUGUUUAUAGCCUCUUGCCUAUGCAGUCGGAGAGAUUGAGGUCUGCAGCGUAGAUCCUUCGGGGCUAAAUGCAUUUGUGCUAAGUUAUAGCAUUUUAUAGACAACUUGUUGACUAUGAUUUGUCUUGUAGCUUACUCGCUUAUGUUAUUUUACCUACGCUUAGGAUGUUGAGCGCAUGUCUCUCUCU